GCGUUCCUCACUGGAGAGAGGCCGGUCCUUGAGCCGGCCCACCGAAGGGGCAAGCCCGAGGCGAUUCGCCUGGGGUCAAUCUCUCAGGUACCCCGGACGGCGAGGACAUC
rnacentral:ncRNA from 2 species